CAGCCCGGUAAUUCCAGCUCCAAUAGCGUAUAUUAAAGUUGUUGCAGUUAAAAAGCUCGUAGUUGAAUUUCGGGGUUAGUAGGUUGGUCAUGCCUCUGGUAUGUACUGGUCUCACUGAUUCCUCCUUCCUGAUGAGCCGUAAUGCCAUUAAUUUGGUGUUGCGGGGAAUUUGGACUGUUACUUUGAAAAAAUUAGAGUGUUUAAAGCAAGCUAACGCUUGAAUACAUUAGCAUGGAAUAAUGAAAUAGGACGUUCGAUCCUAUUUUGUUGGUUUCUAGGAUUGACGUAAUGAUUAAUAGGGAUAGUUGGGGGCAUUAGUAUUCAAUUGUCAGAGGUGAAAUUCUUGGAUUUAUUGAAGACUAACUACUGCGAAAGCAUUUGCCAAGGAUGUUUUCAUUAAUCAAGAACGAAAGUUAGGGGAUCGAAGACGAUCAGAUACCGUCGUAGUCUUAACCAUAAACUAUGCCGACUAGGGAUCGGAUGAUGUUAAUUUUUUAAUGACUCAUUCGGCGCCUUACG
rnacentral:misc_RNA from 1 species